CUUCUUGGAGGUGAAUUUGCAUGAAGAUCAAGCUUUUCCCUUGAGUUGGGACCUCCAUGGUCUAAUGCUCCAACAACAUGGCUUAGAUUGCCUUAGCCCUUGAUCUUGUAAAAGCUCCCUUGAAUUGAGGUGCCUCUAGAUCCAUUAUGAUGUCCUCAUCACUUUGCUUGUUAAAGAUUUAUUGAUAGAAUUUGAUUUCAUCAGCAAGCUCAACAUCUUCAAAUCCUUCCUACCGGCUUAAAACAUAAAAAGUCUUUUAAAACCUUCACCACUGUUCCAAAAUUGUUCUCCUUGUUUGAAGUUCCAGAAGAGUUUGCCGAAUACAAGGAGCUGCUCAUGCCAUCCUGUGCAGAAUCCCAUGCUGACUUCUCUCAUCUAGCACCUCUAUGGAAAAAUAAAGAUUUCUUUAUUAAGCUCCCUUUUAAGCUUAAUAAGCAUGUCAACCCUACAAAUGCAACUCAUCCAGAAAUGACUCCAACAGACCUCCUGCUAGCUCAACAGGAAUGUCAACAGCUGCUUCAACAAGGUCUUAUUGAACCCACUAGUUCAGGAUGAGCCUGUUAAGCUUUUUAUGUUGAAAAAAGAUUGGAAAGGAUUUGAGGAAAAAAAAGACUGGUCAUUGACUAUAAGCCCUUAAAUCAUUUCUUAAUGGAUGACAAAUUUCCACUUCUCAAGAUCAAUUCUCUGUUCACUCAUUUACAAGAAGCACAUAUCUUCUCAAAGUUCAAUCUUAAAGCAAGAUUUUAGCAGUUAGGAAUUGAUCCAACAGAAAGAUGCAAGACAACAUUUUGUAUUCCUAAUGCUCAAUAUCAGUUGACCGUAAUGCCUUUUGGGCUCAAAGUUGCCUCUUCACUAUUCCAAAAGGCAUGGUUCGAAUCAUUGAGCCUAUUCUCUAUAUUGCCCUGAUCUACAUUAAUGAUAUUUGCUAUUUUAAAAAAUAGUUCAGCCCAUAAACAACUCCUAGCCCAAUUUUAUUCUUUGGUCCAAUAAUAUUAGAUUAUGCUAUCUAAAAAGAAGAGCUACCUAGUCCAAACUGAUAUUUAAUUUCUUUGAAUAAAAUUUGAAAAUGGGAUGUACCACCCUGAACGUCAUAUUGCCCAAGAAUUGCUCAAAUUCCCAGAUGCAAAUCUCACUGUCAAACAAAUUCAGCAAUUUCUUAGAAUUAUCAACUAUCUCAAAGACUUUAUCCCUUAUGUGUCCAAAUAAACUAGUUAGCUUUCCAAGAUGCUAAAAAAGAAGCCCCCCACUUGGGGUAAUGAACAGACCACAGCCGUAAAGGUUUCAAAGAAAAUAGCUUAAAACCCCCCUCCUCUAAAAAUUCUAAGAACAGGAAAAAGAAAUUCUUCAGACUGAUGCCAGUUAUGAAUAUUGGGGUGCUAUUUUACUUGAAGAACUCGAUGAAAAGCGACAAAUUUGUGGUCAUGCAAGUGGACAAUUCAAAGAAUCUGAAAAGCACUAUCACAUGAUCUACAAGGAGAUCUUGGCCAUUAAGAAUAGAAUCAAGAAAUUUGAGUUUCAUCUUAUCGGCCAUUGUUUUCUGAUAGUGAUGGACAAUUCUUCUUUUCCAAAGGUCCUUCAUUUCAAAAAUAAGACUCUUCUAGAACCACAAUUAUUGAGGCUCAAAAGCUGAUUUGAUAAAUAUGACUACACUGUCCAACAUAUAAAAGGGCAUCUCAACCUCAUCCCAAAUCUCCUCACCAGACCACCGAAUAUUUCUUUACUCACUUCUCUUUAGACAAUUUCUCUCAUCUUUAUGGUAGACUCCUCCAGCUCCUCUAAAGCUCCGAUACCACAGUUCCUCAUUCCAGCAAUAGAAACAUUUCCACCCGGAUGCACAUCAACAAUGACCCUGUUCCAAAUUAUUGAAUUUGCAAAAAAUCAUUUAUUCCAUUUUCAAAACCUAUCCAAUGUCCUCAGAUAAUAUAAAGACAACCACACUCAGUUUCGUCCAGACGCUUCAUUCCUCACGGUUUUCUGUUUUAGUCCUUCAGAGGACCUGCUCUUUGAAGAAAAAUGGUUCUUAUGGUGUAUGACUACUCUCUAUGCCAUUGGUUUUGAAGUUCCCACUAUACUCAUGUACUAUUUCCUUAAUGACAGGAGCAACCAGAAAAAAAAUCAUCUGAAACUUUCUUGACUAGUUCCUGCCAAUUCCUCAAUGGUGCAAUGAUCUAAAAAAGAUCAUCAAUCAUUAUGGUCUAUGGCAUAGAUCAUCAUACGAUCGUAAGGAAUUUUGCUCACUGUUCAUCAUGUAUUGACCUUUCUUUAGAAAUCCUGAAGGGAUACUCUGGACUCAAAAUUCAGUCUAUGAAUACCUGACUUAUUUCAAGUUUAUCACCACAAGAGAUACGUCCGCCAUC
rnacentral:misc_RNA from 1 species